rfam:Cajanus cajan CcLG07_62, whole genome shotgun sequence.
GUGGAGGUAGAAGGCCUACGGGUCAUGAACUUUUUUUCUCGGAGAAGAAGCAAUGACGGUAUCCGGGGAAUAAGCAUCGGCUAACUCUAUGCCAGCAGUCGCGGUAAGACAGAGGAUGC